rnacentral:rRNA from 1 species
UACGGAGGAUCCGAGCGUUAUCCGGAUUUAUUGGGUUUAAAGGGUGCGCAGGCGGGAGAUUAAGUCGGCGGUGAAAUUUUGCAGCUCAACUGUAAAAGUGCCUUCGAAACUGGUUUCCUUGAGUGUAGAUGAAGUAGGCGGAAUUUGUGGUGUAGCGGUGAAAUGCAUAGAUAUCACGAGGAACUCCGAUUGCGCAGGCAGCUUACUAAACCAUAACUGACGCUCAGGCACGAAGGCGUGGGGAUCAAACAGGAUUAGAUACCCCUGUA